rnacentral:tRNA from 1 species
UCCCUUGUGGCUUAGCUGGUAAAGCAUCCACCUGCCGUGUGGGAGACCUGGGUUCAAUCCCUGGGUUGGGAU